rnacentral:rRNA from 1 species
GGCGGACGGGUGAGUAACGCUUGGGAAUCUGCCUGUUAGUGGGGGACAACCCGGGGAAACUCGGGCUAAUACCGCAUACGCACUAUGGUGGAAAGCCGGGGACCGCAAGGCCUGGCGCUAACAGAUGAGCCCAAGUCGGAUUAGCUAGUUGGUAGGGUAACGGCCUACCAAGGCGACGAUCCGUAACUGGUCUGAGAGGACGACCAGUCACACCGGAACUGAGACACGGUCCGGACUCCUACGGGAGGCAGCAGUGGGGAAUAUUGGACAAUGGGGGCAACCCUGAUCCAGCGACGCCGCGUGGGUGAAGAAGGCCUGCGGGUUGUAAAGCCCUUUCGGUUGGGAAGAAAAGCUGUGACCUAACACGUCGCGGCCUUGACGUAACCAACUAAAGAAGCACCGGCUAACUCUGUGCCAGCAGCCGCGGUAAUACAGAGGGUGCGAGCGUUAAUCGGAAUUACUGGGCGUAAAGCGCGCGUAGGCGGCUUUUCAAGUCGAUUGUGAAAUCCCCGGGCUUAACCUGGGAACUGCAGUCGAGACUGUCUAGCUAGAGUAUGGGAGAGGGAAGUGGAAUUUCAGGUGUAGCGGUGAAAUGCGUAGAUAUCUGAAGGAACAUCAGUGGCGAAAGCGACUUCCUGGACCAAUACUGACGCUCAUGUGCGAAAGCGUGGGGAGCAAACAGGAUUAGAUACCCUGGUAGUCC